UACAAGCUCUUUAGCUCAUCCCAUUCGUAGUAUACGACCGCAUUUGAUAAGCCACCAUCUGAUUCAAAACACAUGUUUGAUACAUAUUCUGCAAUAGUUGGGACAAUGAUGUUUAGGUCUUCGUUUGUAUCAAAACAGAUUGACUUUCUAAUGAAUCGAAAGAAGUGUCCACAAUAUAUGGGAUGUACAAGCUCUUUAGCUCAUCCCAUUCGUAGUAUACUACUGCAUUUGAUAAGCCACCAUCUAAUUCAAAACACGUUUGAUUCAAAUUCUCCAAUAGUUGGGACUAUUGGAGAUGUUUAGAUCUUCGUUUGUAUCAAAACAGAUUGACUCCAUGGUGGACUUUCUAAUGAAUCAUAUGAAGUCUGCGCAAUAUAUUUGAUGUACAAGCUCUUUAGCUCAUCCCAUUUGUAGUAUACUACCACAUUUGAUAAGCCACCAUCUGAUUCAAAACACAUGUUUGAUACAUAUUCUCCUAUAGUUGGGACUAUGAUGUUUAGGUCUUUGUUUGUAUCGAAACAGAUUGACUCCGUGGUGGACUUUCUAAUGAAUCGAAUGAAGACUCCGCAAUAUAUUUGAUGUACAA